rnacentral:lncRNA from 1 species
CAAGUGAACUUUCUAGAACUCAUAGGGAGAGAGGUUUUAAGGUGGGAGCUCAUAGCCAAAAGAAACACAACUAGCACUCAAUUCAACAUCUAAUCCAACAUGAGCACACUCUCUUAUUACACUCUAGCUUCUCUAGGCCUAUCUCAACUCCUUUUACCCUUAUACUCAUCAUCAAGCAUCCACACAUUCAAAUCAACCAACUCUCACAUUCAUUAAGCAUAAAACAUUAAGUGAAUUCUUGCAAAUGGUCAAUUGGUCCAAAUCAUUUGGUUGAGUAAGGGAAGGUUUUUAUUCAAGUGGGUCAAGAGGUUCAAAAUCCAUGAUCUUUUAAAGUGGUUUACUCUCAAAACAAGUAGCCUUGACAUUGCACAUAAUAUAUCUAAGAAAGAGACCAACUCAUGCAUACAAUGCUCAAUCUCCAUUGUUCUAUCCUUUUCCCAAACAUACAAGUUACACAAUCACUUCCCAAUGUCAAACCCAACUCCCAUCUCUCACCAAAAGAUCCCAAGAAUACUUUGCACAUAAAACUAUUUUUCUUUGAAAUCUAUAAAGGAUUUUCUCAACUUCUAAACAAAUCUUAGCUCUAAACAACUUUGCUAGCCCCAUUUUUUUUUUUUUUUUUUUUUUUUUUUUUAUAUAUAUAUUUUUUUCUUUUUUCUUUUUCUCUUUUAUAUUCUUUUUUUUCGGGGGCCAAGACUUUUCAUAAACUCGAGCU